AGAGUUUGAUCCUGGCUCAGAGCGAACGCUGGCGGCAUGCCUUACACAUGCAAGUCGAACGGUAACAGGUCUUCGGAUGCUGACGAGUGGCGAACGGGUGAGUAAUACAUCGGAACGUGCCCAGUAAUGGGGGAUAGCUCGGCGAAAGCCGGAUUAAUACCGCAUACGCCCUGAGGGGGAAAGUGGGGGACCGCAAGGCCUCACGUUAUUGGAGCGGCCGAUGGCUGAUUAGCUAGUUGGUAGGGUAAAGGCCUACCAAGGCGACGAUCAGUAGCUGGUCUGAGAGGACGAUCAGCCACACUGGGACUGAGACACGGCCCAGACUCCUACGGGAGGCAGCAGUGGGGAAUUUUGGACAAUGGGGGAAACCCUGAUCCAGCAAUGCCGCGUGUGCGAAGAAGGCCUUCGGGUUGUAAAGCACUUUUGUCAGGGAAGAAAUCCUUUGGGCUAAUACCCUAGGGGGAUGACGGUACCUGAAGAAUAAGCACCGGCUAACUACGUGCCAGCAGCCGCGGUAAUACGUAGGGUGCAAGCGUUAAUCGGAAUUACUGGGCGUAAAGCGUGCGCAGGCGGUUGUGUAAGACAGGUGUGAAAUCCCCGGGCUUAACCUGGGAAUUGCAUUUGUGACUGCACGACUAGAGUGUGUCAGAGGGGGGUGGAAUUCCACGUGUAGCAGUGAAAUGCGUAGAUAUGUGGAGGAACACCAAUGGCGAAGGCAGCCCCCUGGGAUAACACUGACGCUCAUGCACGAAAGCGUGGGGAGCAAACAGGAUUAGAUACCCCGGUAGUCC
rnacentral:rRNA from 1 species